AUUGAACGCUGGCGGCAGGCUUAACACAUGCAAGUCGAGCGGGGGAAGGUAGCUUGCUACCGGACCUAGCGGCGGACGGGUGAGUAAUGCUUAGGAAUCUGCCUAUUAGUGGGGGACAACAUCUCGAAAGGGAUGCUAAUACCGCAUACGUCCUACGGGAGAAAGCAGGGGAUCUUCGGACAUUGCGCUAUGAGAUGAGCCUAGGUGGGAUUAGGUGGUGGGUGGGGUAAAGGCCUACCAAGGCGACGAUCUGUAGCGGGUCUGAGAGGAUGAUCCGCCACACUGGGACUGGGACACGGCCCAGACUCCUACGGGAGGCAGCAGUGGGGAAUAUUGGACAAUGGGGGGAACCCUGAUCCAGCCAUGCCGCGUGUGUGAAGAAGGCCUUAUGGUUGUAAAGCACUUUAAGCGAGGAGGAGGCUACUUUAGUUAAUACCUAGAGAUAGUGGACGUUACUCGCAGAAUAAGCACCGGCUAACUCUGUGCCAGCAGCCGCCGUAA
rnacentral:rRNA from 1 species